CCGAAUGCGGCCGUAUGCGCCUCCGCGCCAAAUCCGCUAGAACCCUGCUAUUUAUACCCAAAUGCGGCGCUCGUUGUGCAUGUUUUUGCGCCCGCACCGGAGCAACAAGAGAACCUCGCCCGCCAUAAGCAAAUCACGCCGAAGUCGCGUCCCUGCAUCCUGACGAAGUUCUCGGCAUCGUCGAUAGGCGGGAGCAACAUUAUCGCACCUUGAAACGCUCACCGGUGUGGGGAUGGAUCACGAAUCCACCCCUCAUCGUGGUCGGGGGUUCUGCGCGUCUACCGCCGGUCAAGAAUAGGCACCGCAGGAUGAGGCGCAUGAAGGAUGUCGCGAUGAUGUUCGUGAGAGGUCUAGGCCGUCGUCUCCCGGUCAACUUUGGUUGCUAGAUCAUUGUCUUCGUAUAAUUUAAUUAUUUAACUAUUUUGUACAAAACUUUGUUAUAUAUUAAUGAUGUGACAUUCGUUUCUGUACCAUGAGUCAUCAUAUGUAUGAGACUUGAUUCCAUCACACGUGUGAGCCGCACCCGAGUUUGGACCCCUAAAUCCGGA